rnacentral:tRNA from 1 species
GCGAGUGCGCCGACGCGGGAGAGUCGGGGCCGGCUGUAACGCGGUCGCAGAUUUGCUCAGGGGGUUCGAAUCCCUCCACUCGCA